GGACCAAGGAGUCUAGCAUGUGCGCGAGUCAUUGGGAUAUUUACGAAACCUAAAGGCGCAAUGAAAGUGAAGGUUCGCCUUGCGCGAACCGAGGGAGGAUGGACGGUUUCGAGGAAUCGUCCCGCACUCCCGGGGCGUCUCGUUCUCAUCGCGAGAAGAGGCGCACCCAGAGCGUACACGCUGGGACCCGAAAGAUGGUGAACUAUGCCUGGUCAGGACGAAGUCAGGGGAAACCCUGAUGGAGGUCCGUAGCGAUUCUGACGUGCAAAUCGAUCGUCGGAACUGGGUAUAGGGGCGAAAGACUAAUCGAACCAUCUAGUAGCUGGUUCCCUCCGAAGUUUCCCUCAGGAUAGCUGGCGCUCGCUUCUCGCGAGUCUCAUUCGGUAAAGCGAAUGAUUAGAGGCAUUGGGGUCGAAACGGCCUCAACCUAUUCUCAAACUUUAAAUGGGUGAGAUCUCCGGCUUGCUUGAACUAUGAAGCCGCGAGAUAUCGGAUCAGAGUGCCAAGUGGGCCACUUUUGGUAAGCAGAACUGGCGCUGUGGGAUGAACCAAACGCUGAGUUAAAGCGCCUAAAUCGACGCUUAUGGGAUACCAUGAAAGGCGUUGGUAACUUAAGACAGCAGGACGGUGGCCAUGGAAGUCGGA
rnacentral:rRNA from 1 species